GCUGGGUGUGAUGGCACACGCCUGUAGUCCUAGAUACUUGGGAGGCUGAGGCGGGAGGAUUGCUUGAGCCCAGGAGUUUGAGGCUGCAGUGAACUGUAAUCACUUCAGUGCACUACAGCCUGGGCAACAGAGCAAGACCCUGUUUAUU
ensembl:misc_RNA Metazoa_SRP Metazoan signal recognition particle RNA